AAAUUCAGUUCUAUUUAAACAAUAAAAAUUCAAGAAAUAUGGUAUAUAUCCCUCUAUUCAAUUCGGCUAUAUCCAUUGUAUUCAAUUUACCCUAUUCAAUUCUAAAUACAUAAAUACAUGCAAAAAUUUAAUGUAUUUCUAUCGAAAUAUAAUGUAUUUUUAGCGUAUUUGUAUAGAAUAUAGUGUAUUUAUAUUAUUGAGACUCAAUAGUAAAGAGGCGAAGAAAAUUCUAUGCUAUUCUAAGAUACAUACAACCAGAGCUUCACAUACAAUAUACAAUUGUCCACCGUAGAAGAUAAACUCGUUGAAGAAGAAGUACUAUAUUAAAGUGUAUCUAACUCCUUUGUCGUCGUCACCCCUUUUCGGCUUCGAUUUUCUUUCUCAUCAAAAUAGCAGCAUCAAAUUUUUAUUACGAGAAGGUGCAAAAUGUGUGUAAUUGAAGGGAGGCUUAUGCUUGAUGGGUUUGGUGAAAGUGGCAUUAAACAGAAGCUGCCAUUGAAUUUACAAGUAGUUACUCUUAGGAAAGAACCAAAGGACAUUUAGAAUUUGGAAGAAAAAGAAUGACCAAUGCCCUCAAAUCUUCCAUUGCGUCAUGGAUAGAUCUGAAACAAAGAGAAAAGAUCUGAAGUAAAAAGGGAGUAGGAGAACAGAUCCGGCCAUAGCUACAGAUUGAGCUUUGAAAAUCUGAAGCAGAAUCACCAAAAAUAUGAAAGAUCUGGCCAUGACGGUGAGUCGCCGAAGAAGACGGAUGGAAAAGGGAGAGAGAUUUGGGGAUAAGAGAGAGGGUUGAGGAAAAGAUUGAAGGAUCAAUUGUACAUAUUUGUAUUUGCUUCAAAAAGUG
rnacentral:lncRNA from 1 species